AAACUUAAUAUGGUGUUUGUUGAAUACUGCGUUUGAAUUGAAUGCUUGGAG
rnacentral:lncRNA from 1 species